UUUUGUUUGCAUUAAUUUUUUCUUGGUCUUAGAUCUACUUAUAGAAAAAAUUCACCUACGAAUAUAUAAACACAGAUAUUGUGUUAUAGUUUUUAGGAUGGUUUUGACUUAUGAUAAAGAAAUUAAGCUUGCAGAUCCACGUCUGUGUAUCAAGUUUUCGUUCACUGUAAUUUUCGUACCAAUAAAUUGAUAACAAUAACAGGUUAAAUAAAAGAUCGGCUGAGCCUAAUCCUUUACAAUUUUAAUGCGUAUGUUCAUUGUAACCAUUGUAAUUUCAAUGACCAAUCACUAUCUUUUAAGAAUCAUUUAAGACACAACAAAAUUAUAUUUUGAAAAAAAAUUAUUUUCCAAUCACAUUAUUGUUUUUUACUGUAAGCUGUACUGUACUAUAGUAACUACAAUGCUGUGAAAUAAAUUAGCCACAUGUGUCUCAAAAAGGGUUAGAACUAUUGACUAGCAGAACAGGCAUUUCUUCAAAGCCUGUUCAACUAUCAAGGGUAGUCCUAUAAAUGUGACGUCCUUUGAUUUUGAGAUAUUUUUGCUUUUGGGCAACCUUGACCGACAUUUAAGCAAUAACAAGCCCGUAAGUCUGAUAUAUUGAUCUACUAUCCAGGGUUGUUGAAUCUUCUAAGAAAUAAAGUAGAAAAACUUAAAUGUUGUCUGGAAAAUCGCACAAAAAUCAAUAUUUUUGUCUCAUUUGAAUCAUUUUUGCAGUAAAAUUUCAGCAUUUCACAAUUUGAAAAAUAAUCAUGGACAAUAACCAUAAUUGUGCUGGGAACGUUAGAUAAUUCUUAUUGACAACCCUUCUUCCUUAUAAGCAGUGCAGCAAUUCAUGUAUGAUGUAUUGUAAUUGGUUUGAAUAGUCAAGAUUUUAGGCCAUGGUACUAGUAUGCUAUAUUUUCAAUUACAGAAAUAAGUCAAUUUCAAUCAUCAUCAUCAUGUGUUGCAAUACCACUACCAGGGACAUCAAAGAUGACCUGGACUUCAGUGCAUAUGCAGAGGAGAGUAAGUAGCACUAAAGAAAGCCAAUUAAAUCCUUUUGGAGUUGAAUUGAGACACAACCAUUCAUUUCUGGUUUAGUUAUAAAACUGCUACAGACUAUAAACUAUUCAUGAUGAUGGAAUACACCAAUGCCUAGUACAAUCAUAGCCCAUUAGAAACCAGAACAAACCAUGGCUGCAAAGGAAAUAAGAUGCACAUAGUCUGAAAAAUCUGGCUGGUGUUCUGAAUAAGAUGACAUAAUAUCUCAACUGCAGAAGUACAGCUGGCAUGGAGGGGUUUCACCAGCACAUCUUGAUGUAUUGUACCAAAAGAUUUGCUUACACACCACAUGUUUAUAGGAUGCACAAUCUUCUUGCAGCCAUAGAUUAUAAUAUACAUGGAAAUAGACCAUACAUCACCAACAAGGGGGAUCUGUUAGACUUCAGCGAGUCUGGAUGAAUUAAAGAAGAAGAAAAAGUAUCAUUAUACCAUUUUUCAUGAUGCUAUAACUCUGAGAAUUAGUGACAUGGAGGGGAUAUAUAAAAUAGAAAGUUAGAGGAAGAUGACCCCCACAGACUUUCAAAAUAUUUGGCCCAAGUUAGCCCGAAGCCUACCCGAGCCAUUCAUGAGGAACAUAAAUCAAGAUAUGAUUGACUUUUUAUGGAAAAGAAUGAUAAAUAGUGUGUUACACUGAUUGCCCAAAUAUUCAAACAUAUUUAAGAUGACAUUGACCUGGUAUUCAUGAUAGUUUUAUGAACUAUCUUUCUAGAUAUGGCACUGUACCUAUCUUGUUUCGAAAAAAAUUCUCUUGAUUCAUUUGUCAUGACUCAAGGUCUGUUUUUAAUAUUUUGUCAGAAAAAUGACUACCGUACUUUUUAUACAAGUGCAAAAUAUUAUCCAAUCUAUUAAACUAUAAGUGCUGCUAUGAGCUUUAAUGUAGUAACAAAGUUAAAAGUAUUAUUCAAUUAUAUAUUUUGAUAUACAUGUACUAUGUCAUUCACUUUAGCUCAGCUUUUUUUUUUUUUUUUUUUUUUUU